AUUGAACGCUGGCGGCAGGCCUAACACAUGCAAGUCGAGCGAUCGGCGGACGGGUGAGUAAUGUCUGGGAAACUGCCUGAUGGAGGGGGAUCAAACCUGGAAACGGUAGCUAAUACCGCAUCCGAUCCGAUGUGACCAGAUGGGAUUAGAUAGUAGGUGGGGUAACGGAUCACCUAGGCGACGAUCCCUAGCUGGUCUGAGAGGAUGACCAGCAACACUGGAACUGAGACACGGGCCAGACUCCUACGGGAGGCAGCAGUGGGGAAUAUUGCACAAGGGGCGCAAGCCUGAUGCAGCCAUGCCGCGUGUAUGAAGAAGGCCUUCGGGUUGUAAAGCACUUUCAGCGGGGAGGCGUUACCCGCAGAAGAAGCACCGGCUAACUCCGUGCCAGCCGCCGCGGUAAUAC
rnacentral:rRNA from 1 species